UCAGAACAAUUCCUCGCGUGGAGGGCACAUCCAUCAGCGAGCUCCUCCACGGUUGCCCGUGCGAAGCUGGCGUCAGGAAUUCAAAAGGAACCCAAGGUGGCAGGCUGGUCACUCUCCACUACUACUACACCACCAUUACACAGACAACGAAGCCACGCCAUGACAUGAACGACACCAUGGGAUGGAUGCGACGCUACCACCACCAUCACGCAUCAGCGUCACCUCCUCUGCUAGAGCCCAAGACAGGGCAGCGCAGCGCAGUCCGCUACCGCUAGCGAUUGCGACGGAGAGGAAGGAGCAGGACGGAGAAGAUGUGAAGUGCACAGGCAACCAAGGGGAGGGGGCUCACCGAUUACCAGCAGGCGGCGCGGUGACGAGACGGAGAGCGGCCGGGGGAGUGGGCGCUGCGCCUGCGCCGGCGAGCAGCAGCACAGCUUGCGCACCGGGAAGCUGGCAGUGGCAGCUCGCUCCCCCGGGGCAGUGAAGGCUGGCGACGAGUGCCGAGGGCCCGAGGCUUUAUUGCGCUCGUCGUCGCCGCCUUUACUGAGCCGCUUUUUUUUUUCACCCCGGGAAUCUACAGCAGAACACCAAAGGCUGGCGACUGUGAAUUUGACCGUGCUGGUGUUCGGGUGGCGGGGAGGGACCAACCCGCACUCACGCUAGUGGCUCACUGCCUGGUGGGCCCACCACACAGUUGUCAGCACUGGACCCGUGUGUAAAGUUUUACAGUGGCUGGUACCAGCGCUGUUCUGUUUGUUGCCCUUUUUGGCGGGUGGACUCGUGUGAUGUGUGCUCGGGACU